rnacentral:sRNA from 1 species
GUUUGCACUUGUCGGGGAAGGGUGAGAACCUUCGAUUAAGGUUCGACUCGAGCGAAAGCGAGAGAAUGUUGCCAAC